rnacentral:rRNA from 1 species
AAUGAACGUUGGCGGCGUGGAUUAGGCAUGCAAGUCGAGCGCUCACCCGCAAGGGUGGGAGCGGCGAAAGGGAGAGUAACGCGUGGGUAUCUACCCCCGGGACUGGGAUAGCUGCGGGAAACUGCAGGUAAUACCAGAUGACGUCCCCGGACCAAAGGUGUGAUUCCGCCUGAGGAUGAGCCCGCGUCCUAUUAGCUUGUUGGUGGGGUAAUGGCCUACCAAGGCAAUGAUGGGUACUGGGUGUGAGAGCACGACCCAGCUCACUGGGACUGAGACACUGCCCAGAAACCUACGGGUGGCUGCAGUCGAGAAUCUUCGGCAAUGGGCGAAAGCCUGACCGAGCGACGCCGCGUGUGGGAUGAAGGCCUUCGGGUUGUAAACCGCUGUCAGAGGGGAGGAAUGGGCGGAGGGUAAUCUCUUCGUUUUGACCUAUCCUCAGAGGAAGUACGGGCUAAGUUCGUGCCAGCCGCCGCAGUAAGAC